CAUUAUUGAAUGUUAAGAAGUUGUAGCUGACCUGUUAAAGGGUAUGUGCUCGCUUCUUUCAAUCUCUUACCACCUGUGCACCUUUUGUAGUCUUGUAUACAUUUCAAAAUCGUUAUACUCUUUACGGAGUGUGAUGAGUUUGGUUAGGGGAGUUGUUGGUUACGCAAGUGAUCAGCUCUUCCUGUCUUAUUCAAGGCUAUGUUUUUUACAUACCCCACUAUAAUAACUAAAGAAUGUUUACUAGUCUUGCCGUCAAAAAGCAGACUUAUUUUAAAAUACAAUUUUCAACAAUGGAUCUCUUGGCUCUCGCAUCGAUGAAGAACGCAGCGAAAUGCGAUAAGUAAUGUGAAUUGCAGAUUUCAGUGAAUCAUCGAAUCUUUGAACGCACCUUGCGCUCCUUGGUAUUCCGAGGAGCAUGCCUGUUUGAGUGUCAUUAAUCUCUCAACCUUGCCAGCUUUAUUGUUGUUGCAAGGCUUGGAUGUGAGGGUUUGCCGGCUCCUUUGUUGAGUCAGCUCCCUUUAAAUGUAUUAGCGGAACCUCUGCGAACCAUCAUUGGUGUGAUAAUAUAUCUACGCUAUUGAUGCAAGCCUCCUUUAUUGGAGUUGGAUCAGCUUCUAAUCGUCUUCGGACAACGUAUUGAUCUUUAUUGAUUGAUAUAUUUUGACAACUUGACCUCAAAUCAGGUAGGACUACCC
rnacentral:rRNA from 1 species